rnacentral:rRNA from 1 species
AGAGUUUGAUCMUGGCUCAGAUUGAACGCUGGCGGCAUGCCUUACACAUGCAAGUCGAACGGCAGCACGGGAGCUUGCUCCUGGUGGCGAGUGGCGAACGGGUGAGUAAAGCAUCGGAACGUACCUUGUCGAGGGGGAUAACGCAGCGAAAGUUGUGCUAAUACCGCAUACGUCCUGAGGGAGAAAGCGGGGGACCGCAAGGCCUCGCGCGAUGAGAGCGGCCGAUGUCAGAUUAGCUAGUUGGUGAGGUAAAGGCUCACCAAGGCGACGAUCUGUAGCGGGUCUGAGAGGAUGAUCCGCCACACUGGGACUGAGACACGGCCCAGACUCCUACGGGAGGCAGCAGUGGGGAAUUUUGGACAAUGGGGGAAACCCUGAUCCAGCCAUGCCGCGUGAGUGAAGAAGGCCUUCGGGUUGUAAAGCUCUUUCGGCCGGGAAAAAAUUGCACGGAUGAACAGUCUGUGUAGAUGAUGGUACCGGACUAAGAAGCACCGGCUAACUACGUGCCAGCAGCCGCGGUAAUA